GGUAAACUCAGAGCUGUAAGCUGCUAUAUUAAGUCAUUGCCGCUCGGUGUUGUUCUCUUAAAUUAGUUUAACUGAUUUUAUUCUUGGUGAUGCAGUUUUCAAGCGAGCUUCGUUUUCCGGGUUUUUCGUGAAAAGUUUCUCUUGAAGUGACCAGGAAAUUACCUCUGUGAUGGCUCAUGAUAAUUAAUAUCAAGAAAAAGGAGGUUAAGAGAGCGGUGGUUGUGGAGUUUAGUCUCGUCUGUUCAGGGGAACAAAUUUUGCAGAACGGUGGUAACUUCACGAGUUGUGACUUGAGAUUCGAAACCUGGCGAAGUUAAUUUUUGAUGUAUAGCAAGUUUUUGUGUGAUUUGGCUCUUGAAAGAAGUCUGCACCGGGUGUAAAACACAUUGGAUGACCGAACCUCUUAAUUUCACUUGAAAUGUGAAGAAAAAUAGAAAAUAAAAUAAAAUGCUUUAUUUA